AAGCCCAGCUUGCUGGGUGGAUUAGUGGCGAACGGGUGNNUNACACGUGAGUAACCUGCCCUUGACUCUGGGAUAAGCGUUGGAAACGACGUCUAAUACCGGAUACRAGCUUCCACCGCAUGGUGAGUUGCUGGAAAGAAUUUUGGUCAAGGAUGGACUCGCGGCCUAUCAGCUUGUUGGUGAGGUAAUGGCUCACCAAGGCGACGACGGGUAGCCGGCCUGAGAGGGUGACCGGCCACACUGGGACUGAGACACGGCCCAGACUCCUACGGGAGGCAGCAGUGGGGAAUAUUGCACAAUGGGCGAAAGCCUGAUGCAGCAACGCCGCGUGAGGGACGACGGCCUUCGGGUUGUAAACCUCUUUUAGCAGGGAAGAAGCGAAAGUGACGGUACCUGCANAAAAAGCNCCGGCUAACUACGUGCCANCAGCCGCGGUAAUACGUAGGGUGCAAGCGUUGUCCNGAAUUAUUGGGCG
rnacentral:rRNA from 1 species